rnacentral:rRNA from 1 species
GACGAACGCUGGCGGCAUGCCUAAUACAUGCAAGUCGAGCGAACAGAUGAAGUGCUUGCACUUCUGACGUUAGCGGCGAACGGGUGAGUAACACGUAAGGAAUCUGCCUAUAAGCGGGGGAUAACAUUCGGAAACGGGUGCUAAUACCGCAUAAUAUCUUCUUCCGCAUGGAAGAAGAUUGAAAGACGGCUCUGCUGUCACUUAUAGAUGACCUUGCGGUGCAUUAGUUAGUUGGUGGGGUAACGGCCUACCAAGACGAUGAUGCAUAGCCGACCUGAGAGGGUGAUCGGCAACAUGGGGACUGAGACACGGCCCAAACUCCUACGGGAGGCAGCAGUAGGGAAUCUUCCGCAAUGGGCGAAAGCCUGACGGAGCAAUGCCGCGUGAGUGAAGAAGGCCUUCGGGUCGUAAAACUCUGUUAUAAGAGAAGAACAAAUUGUAGAGUAACUGCUACAGUCUUGACGGUAUCUUAUCAGAAAGCCACGGCUAACUACGUGCCAGCAGCCGCAGUAA